rnacentral:tRNA from 1 species
GCCGUCAUAGUUCAACGGUAGAACAUCGGUCCUGUAAAUCGAGUGUUGUGGGUUCAAGUCCUGCUGGCGGCUCCA